UACGUAGGGGGCAAGCGUUGUCCGGAUUUACUGGGUGUAAAGGGCGUGUAGGCGGAUCGUUAAGUCAGAGGUGAAAUCUCACAGCUCAACUGUGAAAUUGCCUUUGAUACUGGCGGUCUUGAGUACGAAAGAGGAAGAUGGAAUUCCUGGUGUAGCGGUGAAAUGCGUAGAUAUCAGGAGGAACACCGGUGGCGAAGGCGGUCUUCUGGUUCGUAACUGACGCUGAGGCGCGAAAGCAUGGGGAUCAAACAGG
rnacentral:rRNA from 1 species